AUGUCAAAGUGCACCACAGUCAAGUUCAAGGCGAAGUUUCUUGUUGUGGCAAGUGGUGAGAAUAGUGCAGAGAAUAUUCCAAUGUUCCCUAGACUGGAAUACUUUCCAGGUGAUGUUAUCCACUCCUCAAGCUACAAGUCAGGCAAGAGCUACUCUGGCGAGAAUGUAUUGAUCAUUGGAUCUGGCAACUCCGGGAUGGAAAUUGCUUAUGACCUUGCGACCCAUGGUGCCAACACAUCAAUUGUUAUACGAAGCCCGAUACAUUCAUGUAAUGACAAAGGAAUUAACUUGUUUGGGGAUGACACUUGCUCACCGUCUUCCAUUGAAUCUAGUGGAUAA
rnacentral:rRNA from 1 species